CAGCCGCCGCGGUAAUACGAGGGGGGCAAGCGUUGUUCGGAAUUAUUGGGCGUAAAGGGCGCGUAGGCGGUUUGGCAAGUUUGGUGUGAAAUCUUCGGGCUCAAUUCGAAGUCUACAUCGAAAACUGCCGGGCUUGAGUAUGGGAGAGGUGAGUGGAAUUUCCGGUGUAGCGGUGAAAUGCGUAGAUAUCGGAAGGAACACCUGUGGCGAAAGCGGCUCACUGGACCAUUACUGACGCUGAGGCGCGAAAGCUAGGGGAGCAAACAGGAUUAGAUACCCCCGUAGUCCCUGUCUCUUAUAC
rnacentral:rRNA from 1 species